CCGAAGAAACCACAUGAGCCAGCAGUUGCUGCCCUCCCGAAGUGGUCCUCGGAGGCAGCGCACCCCUUCAUUUUGGCGAACCGAGGAGGAAGGGAGGAACCGUGUGGGGGAAAUCUAGAACUUCUGGUUCCCCAAGGACCCAGCAGACUGUGUUCUGGCUACAAGGUGAUCACUGCCACCAGGUCAGUGCAGGAUUCCUCCAAUGUAGAUGGGCCGGGAGCCACAACUUGCGCGGAGCAGCAGCCUCGCCGACCACUCAGAGAGAAGCCGCGCGACAGCCAGGCUUGGCCCGGACGGCGCCCCCACCCUGCGCGCGCGAUCCAAGGUUCUCACCUGGAGCGCUCAGGUACUACCAUUAAAGAUACCUUCUUCUCAGCAAAUCUAUGAUAAAAAAUAUAAGUAACAGAAGAAGAAAUAACUGUUAUUUGUCAAGUGACAAGCUUUUAAUGUCAGAAUGGCUCACCUAAAGCGACUAGUAAAAUUACACAUUAAAAGACAUUACCAUAAAAAGUUCUGGAAGCUUGGUGCAGUAAUUUUUUUCUUUAUAAUAGUUUUGGUUUUAAUGCAAAGAGAAGUAAGUGUUCAAUAUUCCAAAGAGGAAUCAAGGAUG
rnacentral:lncRNA from 1 species